UCAAUGGGAAAGUGAAUAAGAAGAAUGUAAUGAAUGCUGUGCAGAAUCUUGGUGAAGGAGUGAAUGUUGAUGUUAACAAACUGGACAACAUUCUGGGAAACCUGGGGAUCAAACUUACAGAUAAAGAAAUUGAUAGCCUGUUGAGUGACCUGCCAAUUGAUGAUGAUGGAAAGGUCAACCUCAAAGAAGUUAUCGAUAAUGCAAAAACUAUUCAAGAAAACGUUGAUUUUCAAAACCUGGAAGACUUUCUGAAGGACAUGGGAAUCAAUCUUACAGAAGAGGAAGAAAUAGAUCUCCUAGAAAACCUUCCAGUUGGUGGUGAGUAUUCCAGAUGCCACUGUGGCUGUCAGGGGAACUUGGGCUUGCUAGUGUGAAAAUGUCUGAUACUGUCUAAAGAAAGAUGCUUCUCAUUCUCCCUAGGCUAAAGUUCUUCAGUCUAAGGGUAAUUAGUGAAAAAUCAUAGCACUUUAACCACUUAGAUGCCUUAGAAAUGAUAAAGAGAAGGGGAAGGAUAUAAAAUGAAAAGAAAUUAAUAGGUUAGAAGAAAAGCAAAAGAAAUGGGUAGGGGAAGCUAGAAGAGAGUAGAGUGAAGGAGUGAUAGAAAAAUAACCCAAUAUUGCCUCAAAUAGAAAGUCAUCUUAUUACCCCAAGUGGGCUAGCAAAGGAGCUGGGGAAUAGGGAUUAAAAGAGGUAAAGGAAUAUGACAGGAAACUGUAGCCAAAAUUUCUCUCAGGGCAGAGAGAAAGAGGAGGAUUCACUAUGAGAGGACACUUAACACUCCCUGUAAUGUUUCAAUGUGAUCACCCCCUUCCCCAGAAAUACAGGCAAAUAGUUACUGUCAUAUAUUAGAUCAGUGGUUCUCAACCUCUCAAUUUGUAGCAAUGAGAAUACAUAAUGCAUAUCAGGUAUUUACAUUCUGAAUCAUAACUGUAGCAAAAUUACAGUUUUGAAGUAGCCACCAAAAUAAUUUUUUGGUUUGGGGUCACAGCAACAUGAGGAACUGUAUUGCGGGGUUACGGCAUUAGAAAGGUUGAAAACCACUGUAUUAGAUGGUGGGCAAAAGGCAAGACUAAAUUGUCCCACUCCGGCCAACCAGGAAAUAAUCAGUAAACUGUCUCCUUUCCUUAUAAGAAUUGACAAUGUUUCCUAGUUUGUUUAAAUCUUUCCCAGGCUAGUGGUAAAAGCUCCUUAGACUUCUCCUAAGAGGAAAUGUGUUGUAAAUAGAAAGGAGGACCUGAUUGGGAAUAAAUCAAGGACUAAGAUCCA
rnacentral:lncRNA from 1 species